UCCUCUGAGUGGCCUCUGGUGGGGGUAGU
rnacentral:piRNA from 1 species